GACGAACGCUGGCGGCGUGCUUAACACAUGCAAGUCGAACGAAGAGCGAUGGCAGCUUGCUUCUAUCAAUCUUAGUGGCGGACGGGUGAGUAACGCGUAAUCAACCUGCCCCUCAGAGGUGGACAACAGUUGCAAACGACUGCUACUACUGCAUACUACUUAAUCUUGGCGUCGGUGAUAGAUGAAAGGUGGCUGCGGCUUGUAACCUGUCACAGAAGCAUGGGGUUGGGGUAGAUUAGUUAGUUGGCGGGGUAAGGGAGCAUCAAGGCGAGGAUGAGUAGCAGGUCGGCGAGGAUGAGCGGCCACACUGGGACUGAGACACGGCCCAGACUGCUACGGGAGGCAGCAGUGGGGAUACUGCCGCAAUGGACGAGAGUCUGACGGAGCAACGCGGCGUGAGUAAUGAGCGCCUUCGGGUGGUAAAGCUCUGUUAAUCGGGUGGAAAGGCCUUCUUGCGAAUAGGGAGAAGGAUUGACGGUAACGGAAUAGAAAGCCACGGCUAACUACGUG
rnacentral:rRNA from 1 species